rnacentral:rRNA from 1 species
AAUAGAUACCCAGGUAGUCCAUGCCGUAAACGUUGGGCACUAGGUGUGGGGGACAUUCCACGUUUUCCGCGCCGUAGCUAACGCAUUAAGUGCCCCGCCUGGGGAGUACGGCCGCAAGGCUAAAACUCAAAGGAAUUGACGGGGGCCCGCACAAGCGGCGGAGCAUGCGGAUUAAUUCGAUGCAACGCGAAGAACCUUACCAAGGCUUGACAUGAACCAGACCGGGCUGGAAACAGUCCUUCCCCUUGUGGGUUGGUUUACAGGUGGUGCAUGGUUGUCGUCAGCUCGUGUCGUGAGAUGUUGGGUUAAGUCCCGCAACGAGCGCAACCCUCGUUCUAUGUUGCCAGCACGUGAUGGUGGGGACUCAUAGGAGACUGCCGGGGUCAACUCGGAGGAAGGUGGGGACGACGUCAAAUCAUCAUGCCCCUUAUGUCUUGGGCUUCACGCAUGCUACAAUGGCCGGUACAAAGGGUUGCGAUACUGUGAGGUGGAGCUAAUCCCAAAAAGCCGGUCUCAGUUCGGAUUGGGGUCUGCACUCGACCCC